rnacentral:lncRNA from 1 species
CGCUGAGGAUUUGUAAUUGACGGAUGAAACAAAUGUCGUAUUUUUGUGAUUGUGAUAAUUUUAUGUAAUUAUAAACAUUAGUGCAAAAUUGAGAGGUAAUUGGGACAAGAUCCGAAUUAUAGAGGGUUUCCCCUUCCUAUAGACCAGGUAUUAGUCUAAGUUUAAGGUGGCUAGGAAGGAUCUACUCACAGCCUGCUUAAUUUUUCUGGAAAAAUUAAAAAGAAAAUCUAUAUUUUUUAUUUUUUAAUCAAAUUUACGAUGUUAAUUUUU